CAGUAGCGUAUAUUAAAGUUGUUGCAGUUAAAAUGCUCGUAGUUGAAGUUCGGAUGCAGCAGAGCUUGGAAACGCUGUUAUGGUGCUUCCGUUGCUUUUGCUUGUCCACAGUGCGUUGCAAGUACGUAUGUGCUUGUGCGUGCAUUUUACUUUGAGAAACAUAGGGUGUUCCACGCAUGUUACGGCAUGAAUAUUCCAGCAUGGGAUAAUCUGGUACGACUUCCAAUCUGCCAUUUUGGUUCGUAGGUUGGAAGUAAUGAUUAAUAGGGACUGUCGGGGGCAUUGGUAUUUGACUGUCAGAGGUGAAAUUCUUGGAUUUAUGAAAGACGAACGACUGCGAAAGCAUUUACCAAGGAUGUUUUCAUUA
rnacentral:rRNA from 1 species